CCACAGUAGUAGUCACCACAGAGGGGGCGCUUACCACGGUGAGAUUCAUGACUGGGGUG
rnacentral:rRNA from 1 species